rnacentral:rRNA from 1 species
GACGAACGCUGGCGGCGUGCUUAACACAUGCAAGUCACGGGGGCCCAGCAAUGGGUAACCGGCGAACGGGUGCGUAACACGUGAGCAACCUGCCGAUCUGAGGGGGAUAGCCGGCCCAACGGCCGGGUAAUACCGCAUACGUUCUUGAGAGGACAUCCUCUUGGGAAGAAACCUCCGGGGCAGAUCGAGGGGCUCGCGGCCUAUCAGCUAGUUGGUGUGGGGUAACGGCCCACCAAGGCGACGACGGGUAGCUGGUCUGAGAGGAUGGCCAGCCACAUUGGGACUGAGAGACGGCCCAGACUCCUACGGGAGGCAGCGAGUGGGGAAUCUUGCGCAAUGGCCGAAAGGCUGACGCAGCGACGCCGCGUGUGGGAUGAAGGCCCUAGGGUU